rnacentral:rRNA from 1 species
UACGUAGGGUGCAAGCGUUGUCCGGAAUUAUUGGGCGUAAAGAGCUCGUAGGCGGUUUGUCGCGUCGGCUGUGAAAACUCGGGGGCUCAACCCCGAGCCUGCAGUCGAUACGGGCAGACUAGAGUGCGGUAGGGGAGACUGGAAUUCCUGGUGUAGCGGUGAAAUGCGCAGAUAUCAGGAGGAACACCGGUGGCGAAGGCGGGUCUCUGGGCCGUAACUGACGCUGAGGAGCGAAAGCGUGGGGAGCGAACAGG